AUUUUUUUAUUGGUUGCAGGUUCGACCCAAGGAAUUCUGUGUUGGAGUGGUCCAUUCUACUUAUUGACAACUCGAACCGAAGUGGAUCAAUGGAGUUUGUUGUUCCCCCAACAGACUCAUCUGUAUUUUUCCCGAUUUCUGUGAACUUCUCUGCUACUAAUACAUUCAGUGACUUGAAGGUUGUGAAUGUCUUGCCCCAGUAAGGUGGAGCUCCA